rnacentral:lncRNA from 1 species
CCUUGUACAACUUUUGUUGUGCUUGUGACCAAUCUCUAGCUCCAGGUGGUUCUUCAUAACUAGUAUCAAUAAUAUCCCAAAGGUCUUGAGAUAUGAAGACAAUUUCCAUUUGACUGCUCCAGUACUAAUAGUGUUCCCCUUCAAAUAUAGGGAUUUGACUUGGAGAAUAUGCAAACAACGUAGGGACUGAAUUUGAACUCAUGAUAGCAGGAUGUGGUUUUAAAAAAAUAGCUUUGAUACCAAAUUUGUUGGGACAAACGAAAGCACAAUGAGCAAAAACAGGAAUUUAUCAAGAAUAUUGAUUAAACUAGACUUUUAUUAGAAGAAAGAUGAGAACAAUAGACUUUGCAGUGCUGCUGCUCCUGCAGAACAUAUUCUUAUAUUAUUGACUGCUAGACUUCUUUUUUUUCUUACUUCACGGGUUACAACAAUCUCCUAUUUAAUCUAGGAGUGGAGUAUUCUAGAAUAAGACUUCAAAACUCUCUGAGAAUACAAAAGACACUUAUAGAACUCAGCAAACUUAAUAACUAUAUUUAAUACUGUUUCUAAAAAUAUGAGAUUACAUAAUUACUUUCUAACAUAAAAUUAGAACUGGGAAGUCAUUUUAUGUGGCAAUUGACUUUGGUUGGAUGUUUUAACAUGAUAUUUUUCUCAUCUUCUAUUCAUGUGGUCUAACUAUGAAUAUCACAGUAAUUACACAAAUGUUACGAGUAUUUCGACUUCACCACACGGUAGAUGUACUAGG